AUUGAACGCUGGCGGCAGGCCUAACACAUGCAAGUCGAGCGAGCGGCGGACGGGUGAGUAAUGUCUGGGAAACUGCCUGAUGGAGGGGGAUAACUACUGGAAACGGUAGCUAAUACCGCAUACCAUCAGAUGUGCCCAUAUGGGAUUAGCUAGUAGGUGUGGUAACGGCUCACCUAGGCGACGAUCCCUAGCUGGUCUGAGAGGAUGACCAGCAACAAUGGAACUGAGAACAGGUCCAGACGCCUACGGGGGGCAGCAGUGGGGAAUAUGGAACAAUGGGCGCAAGCCUGAUGCAGCCAUGCCGCGUGUGUGAAGAAGGCCUUCGGGUUGUAAAGCACUUUCAGCGGGGAGGCGUUACCCGCAGAAGAAGCACCGGCUAACUCCGUGCCAGCAGCCGCGGUAAUAC
rnacentral:rRNA from 1 species